GUGCCAGCAGCCGCGGUAAUACGGAGGGGGUUAGCGUUGUUCGGAAUUACUGGGCGUAAAGCGUACGUAGGCGGAUCAGAAAGUAAGGGGUGAAAUCCCAGGGCUCAACCCUGGAACUGCCUCUUAAACUCCUGGUCUUGAGUUCGAGAGAGGUGAGUGGAAUUCCAAGUGUAGAGGUGAAAUUCGUAGAUAUUUGGAGGAACACCAGUGGCGAAGGCGGCUCACUGGCUCGAUACUGACGCUGAGGUACGAAAGUGUGGGGAGCAAACAGGAUUAGAUACCCUGGUAGUCCACACCGUAAACGAUGAAUGCCAGUCGUCGGGCAGUAUACUGUUCGGUGACACACCUAACGGAUUAAGCAUUCCGCCUGGGGAGUACGGUCGCAAGAUUAAAACUCAAAGGAAUUGACGG
rnacentral:rRNA from 1 species